rnacentral:lncRNA from 1 species
UCCUCAGCAGCCUUGAUAAUUUGUUGAAUUGUUUUGGUUCUAUCACCAUUUUGUGCUUCACUAAGAUCAAUUAUUGGGAUGGUUUUGUUGAUUGGGAUUUUGAAAUUCCCUGGUCUUGUUUCUUGUGGGAAUACAUAGUCCUCAGGCACAGAUUUGAUGCUUGACCGGUUUGAAACAAAUUUCUCCAUAUCUCCUUGAAGUAGCUUGAUUAUGCUUUAUUAGUAUACAAUACACAGUGAUAUAUAUAGUAAUGGCAAAAACUGAAUGUGAUGUAUCAUUAACAUCAUCAUUAUUAUUAGUUGUUACUUGUAAAAGGUUUUCAUCUUUGGAUUGGCCAGAUUGCUGGUCCCAUGGAAUUGUGGUGGUUCUAGUGUGUGUAUGGUUUGAGGUGCUGUGGCUUUGUAUCUACAUCUACAUCAAUGUACUCAUAAAUGUCACUAACUAAUCAAAGCUGGACUCAUAAAUGUCACUAACUAAUCAAAGCUGGACUCAUAAAUGUCACUGACUAAUCAAAGCUGGACUAUAUUUUUUUUUAAUAAAUAGGCAAUUAGGCCCAUGAAAUUGUAAGUUUCAUCAAUUAUCCUCCUGAAAUUAUAAGUUUCAUCAAUUACCUCCCUGAAAUUAACAAAAUUUCAAUUACCCCUCUGAAAUUUCACAACGUUAAUCAAUUUACCCCUCCGUCAAAUUUUUCUGUUAGUGAACAUGACGUUUUGCAAAUAUCCCCCUGAAGUUUUGCACUUAUGUGCAAAAUGCCCCCCAAACUUAAAAAUUUAUAUUAUUUUUUUCUUAAAGACAAACAAUUAACGAUUCAAUAUUAAAGCUAACUAUUAAUUUUGGAGUUUGGAAAAACUACAAGCAUAUAUACAUCAAAAUAGGGAAAAAUGUGUAUUUUUAAAGUGACAAUAAUGGUUAUUUCUAAUAGACAAAUUAUUAUUUUUAGGGGUUUANNNNNNNNNNNNNNNNNNNNNNNNNNNNNNNNNNNNNNNNNNNNNNNNNNNNNNNNNNNNNNNNNNNNNNNNNNNNNNNNNNNNNNNNNNNNNNNNNNNNNNNNNNNNNNNNNNNNNNNNNNNNNNNNNNNNNNNNNNNNNNNNNNNNNNNNNNNNNNNNNNNNNNNNNNNNNNNNNNNNNNNNNNNNNNNNNNNNNNNNNNNNNNNNNNNNNNNNNNNNNNNNNNNNNNNNNNNNNNNNNNNNNNNNNNNNNNNNNNNNNNNNNNNNNNNNNNNNNNNNNNNNNNNNNNNNNNNNNNNNNNNNNNNNNNNNNNNNNNNNNNNNNNNNNNNNNNNNNNNNNNNNNNNNNNNNNNNNNNNGAGAAAUGCUAAAACGCACGAAAUUAUUUGUCGUCAUUUUUGUACGAAAAAGUGUAUACUUAUUAUUUAGUUCUUUAUCUUAAUUUUAAUUUGACACAAAGUGACAAACUUUGCCUCUUCUAGAUAUAUCUUAUGAUAAAUCACAAAAAUACCUCAUUGGUGGUGCUUCUCCAAGUUUACUGUUGUCAGUCCCUGCCUCACCAAUGUCAUGUAAACCGGUGGAUCAUGCAUGUGCUUUCUUUGGUAACAUGGCUUUUUAAUACAUAUUUUUAUACAAAAGUAUCAAAAAACCAGCAUGAAAUCCAUUACCAAAAUAAAUUGCAUGUUGUAUAGCUUGUUGUGUGAUUUCGUGUGUAAAUUCUAUCGUACUGUAUAACAGCGCUCUUUAUUUAUACAUUUUUCUUAAUACGUAUGAAAUGAGUAAAUGACUCAGUUAAUCCGGGACGGUGGGAAAUUUAAAAUGAAAAACAAAAAAUUUAGUAUGAAUACCUGAAAGAAUCCAAACUCCUCAGCAGCCUUGAUAAUUUGUUGAAUUGUUUUGGUUCUAUCACCAUUUUGUGCUUCACUAAGAUCAAUUAUUGGGAUGGUUUUGUUGAUUGGGAUUUUGAAAUUCCCUGGUCUUGUUUCUUGUGGGAAUACAUAGUCCUCAGGCACAGAUUUGAUGCUUGACCGGUUUGAAACAAAUUUCUCCAUAUCUCCUUGAAGUAGCUUGAUUAUGCUUUAUUAGUAUACAAUACACAGUGAUAUAUAUAGUAAUGGCAAAAACUGAAUGUGAUGUAUCAUUAACAUCAUCAUUAUUAUUAGUUGUUACUUGUAAAAGGUUUUCAUCUUUGGAUUGGCCAGAUUGCUGGUCCCAUGGAAUUGUGGUGGUUCUAGUGUGUGUAUGGUUUGAGGUGCUGUGGCUUUGUAUCUACAUCUACAUCAAUGUACUCAUAAAUGUCACUAACUAAUCAAAGCUGGACUCAUAAAUGUCACUAACUAAUCAAAGCUGGACUCAUAAAUGUCACUGACUAAUCAAAGCUGGACUAUAUUUUUUUUUAAUAAAUAGGCAAUUAGGCCCAUGAAAUUGUAAGUUUCAUCAAUUAUCCUCCUGAAAUUAUAAGUUUCAUCAAUUACCUCCCUGAAAUUAACAAAAUUUCAAUUACCCCUCUGAAAUUUCACAACGUUAAUCAAUUUACCCCUCCGUCAAAUUUUUCUGUUAGUGAACAUGACGUUUUGCAAAUAUCCCCCUGAAGUUUUGCACUUAUGUGCAAAAUGCCCCCCAAACUUAAAAAUUUAUAUUAUUUUUUUCUUAAAGACAAACAAUUAACGAUUCAAUAUUAAAGCUAACUAUUAAUUUUGGAGUUUGGAAAAACUACAAGCAUAUAUACAUCAAAAUAGGGAAAAAUGUGUAUUUUUAAAGUGACAAUAAUGGUUAUUUCUAAUAGACAAAUUAUUAUUUUUAGGGGUUUAAAGACAAAUUAAUAAUCAGUUUUAAAUUUAUAUUUUCUCCUUCACCAUCUUAGUCUUUUAACUCCUCCAACUCCUUCAACAAUUUGCUCAAACCAUUUAAACUACAUAACCCCCAAUAUUUUUAUAUGAUUUGUUCUUGUUUAGACACUUUAUAGAAAACUUCAUUCUAACUUCUUGUUUGUGCUUCAGGUAGGGACAAUCAUUCAUCGUAUACAAUCUAGCUCACACCACAAUACUAUCAGACCGACAUAUCAUAUAUAGCAUAUUAAGUAAUAUUCAUGUAAAAAAGACACAAAUCAUCAACAAAUGAAAUAUGCGAUCGGUAUGUAUAGAGGAACACUUAUUGAGAAAUGUCAAACACUUAGACAUAUAUUUAUUUACCUUUGAAAUUAAUUCACAAAUCAUCCCAUUAUUGUCACUUUAAAAAAAAUACACAUUUUUCCCCAUUUUGAAGCCUAUUUUGAUGUAUAUAUGCAUGCAGUUCUUCCAAAUUCUAAAAUUAAUAGUUAGUUUUAAUAUUUAACUAUUAAUUGUUUGUCUUUAAGAAAAAAAUAUUAUAAAUUUUUAAGUUUGGGGGCCUUUUGCACAUAAGUGCAAAACUUCAGGCGGGUAUUUGCAAAACGUCAUGUUCUCUAACAGAAAAAUUUGACGGAGGAGGUAAAUUGAUUAACGUUGUGAAAUUUCAGGGGAGUAAUUGAAGUUUUAUUAAUUUCAUGGGAGUAAUUGACGAAACUUACAAUUUCAGGAGGUAAUUACCUAUUUACUCAUAUUUUUUUUCUUAACGUGAAUGUAUAUUAAUGUUUUUUUAAAUAGACAAAAUGAAAAUAAUUAUUGGAUACUCAUCCACAUAAACGGAGGAGUUAAAACUCAAAUUUCUGUUUACAACGUUCAAGUUUAGCAAUUUUGAAAGUUUCAUCACUUAAACUAGAACUUGUAGACAACAUAAAUAUAUUUAAUAUUUGCUAUAUUGUACAUUAUAAAUUCAAUUGUCAAAGAAUUCUGAUUGAUAUGUUUUGUUACUUUUCAAAUUUUGUUUUAUUGUUUUAGCUUUUUUGUUUUGGGAGUUUGAUUUUAUUGGCUAAGUGUUUGUUUCUAUUAUAUUAUUAUUCUGUUCUUUUUAUUGUCUUAGUUUUAUACUAUCUUUUUUUAUUUUAUUACAAGUUAUACUCCUAUAGUUAUUGCUCUUAUUUUGGUUGGAUGAAGGGGGUAUAACAAAGUUAACCAUUAGAGAGAAUUAAGAAAUCGUGAAGUCUUCAAGUUACUUGAAUUAUUGGCAAUUGAAGUUUUCAUGAAACGAUUUGAGUCAAAAGAAAGAUCAAUAGGCAUUCAGCCAUUUUAGAAUCAAACUUUAUACAACACAUGACACACCUUUGCUAUAAUUUGCAUCACGUAUGGUAACCCCAUGUGAAACAACCAAAAUUCUUCCAAAACAUAUAUGGACAUAUACUUUUAUUGCCAUAUUUUCUUUUCUUCAUAGGGGAUUGUGGUUUUCUUGGUUUACUUGGUGUUGUAUUGGUGACUUUGAUUUCAAAAACGAAGGGGAAGGGUGCACUAUAAAAAAAAAAAAAAAUAGAUAUUUCUUCUGUCUUUAAAUUAUAGUCGUUUAAGAUUUAUGCACGAUUAUUAAGGAAAUGAUUAAUUGUGUUGAUUUUAAGGGUAAAAUUUAUAUUAUUUACUAAAAUAUCAUUAUUAAUUAUAGUUAGUGAAAUAGUUAAGUUAGAUGAAAUUCAAUAAAUAAAGGUAUAAUAAUGAAAGAAAAAAAAUACAUGAUGCAUUGGUAUUCUAAAGUGAUAAUUAUUUUAAGAAAAAGAAAAAUGAUAAAGAGACAAUUAUCGUGGAUAUGCAUUGGAAAGGGAAGAAGGUGGGUGGGGGGAUGAUAAAGGUUGUCAAAGUAACCCAUAGACAGGGUUCUUAGGUAAAUAAAAGCAAUUAAUAUAUCCAUGAAAUUUAAAAUUUAAUGAGCCACAAUUUCAUUUCUUUUUUCUUUAGGGGAGUCACAAUUUCAUCUUAUAAAACUUACAAUAAGUAAUUCCACAAAAAAAAAAAAACUUACAAUAAGUAAGUCUAUUUUAUAAUGUAACAAAAAAAAGUCUAUUUAUAACAUCAUGUUUUACAAUGCAUUUUUUUUUUUUUUUAAGGAAUCAUGCUUUAUAAUUUUUAUUUUUUUUGAAGAAGUUAAAUUAGCUUAUCCAAAUUGAUACCGGAGAGAACCAUCAGACCAAUUCAAGUGGGUUCAUGUUUUACAAUGUUGUUUCCUUUUUGCAUCAGACAUGCUAAUUGUAAAACAUAAAUAUUUGAAUCAAUCAUUAAGUGUAUUUUAACCACUUGAUUAAGUGGUUAAACUCAUAUCCUCAUGUAAAUCAACGAGAGUGUAACCUUUAUAGCCUGACUUGUAUCCCAAGAAAAAAGUUUUUCUAGCUCUAGAUUGAAGUUUAGUUCUAUGGACAGAAAGAGAAGUAGCAUAACACAGACAACCAAAAACUUUGAAAGUUGAAAUGUCAGGUAAUUUGUAGUAAAGAACUUGAUAAGGACACUUAUGAUUAAGGGUAUGAGUGGUGAUACGGUUAAUGAGGAAAAUUGCAUGAGAAACUGCAUAAGAUCAAAAAGAGGAGGGUAGUUUGGAUUGGAAUAAAAAAGUGCUCUACCAACAUUUAAAAUGUGUUGGUUUUUUUUUUCUACCCUACCUUUUUGUUGAGGAGUAGCAACACAAGAUUUUUGAUGGAUAAUGCCAAGGGAAUCAUAAAAGGUUGGAAGGAUAAACUCAUGGCCAUUGUCUGAUCUGACAUCUUUAGGAGUGAUAUAAAACUGGUUUUGAAUCAUGGCAAUGAAACAUUGGACAUGGUGAGAAACUUCAGCUUUGGGUUCAAGGAGAAUAAUCCAAAGAAACCUAUUAUGAUCAUCAACAAUGGUAAGGAAGUAUUUGUGACCAUGAACAGAAGGUACAGAUAAGGGACCCCAAAUAUCAAAGUGUAGCAAUUCAAAAUUAGAAGAUGCAUUAGAAUUACUAGAUUCAAAAGGAAGAUGCUUUUGUUUAGCAAAAUGAUAGACAUCGCAAAUUGAAUUAUUAUCAGAAACAAUAUUGGAGUACAAAGUUGACAUCUUAUUCACUCUUUGAUGAGAUAAGUGUCCCAAUCUGAAGUGCAAUAAGGCUUUAUUGGGAAUAACAACAAUACUUGAAUUACAAGAAAUUGAAGAAAUUGCAUUACAAAUUUAUUGAUAUGACUAGAAAGAUCACUAGCAGAAACUAAAGAUAGAGAAUGGAGUAUGUAUAAACCAUCCACUUGUUUAGCCAAAUCAAUCUGCUUCAUUGAGAAUUGGUCAUGUAUAAUGCAUUGAGUAUGUGAGAAUUGCACAAAACAAGAUAAAGAAUGACACAAUUUGGCUACAUAGAUAUGAUUCAACUUAAAGGAAGGAGAAUAAAGAGCAUUGGUGAGAUAAAGCUGAGAACUAAAAGAAACAAUGUCAUCAUGAUUAACAAGGAUAGAGGUACCAUUAGGUAAAUUGACAUGAACAUGCUUAAUCUGAUAAAAUGAAGUAAAAGAAGCUAAGUUGCCAUAUAUGUGCUCAUUACCCCCAGAAUGUAAUAACCAAUGUGAGGUAGAAGGAAAAAAACAAGAAUGAGUAUUCAGAUUACCUACAGAAGAAGAAGCAGCAGUGUAAUUGGAGGAAACUUGAGGAGAAACACUAAUAUGGUUGGUAGUAGGGUCAGAUGUAGAAGCAGGAACUGAGGUAAACAAAUUUGUCUGCUGCAACAAGAAGAUAAGCUGAUCCAUCUUUUCUUGAGACAAACCAGUACUACCAGAAGAGUUGCUUGCAUCUGAAGCUUCAUUCGAAGUAGCAUUGGCCUGUGAAAUCUUCUUGUUCACAUUAGGAUAGCCAUGCUUUUGAUAGAAAAAGUCAAUUGUGUGAUUGUGUCUAUUUCAAAAAAUGCAAAACCUUGAUGAAGGUUUAGUGAAUGAACAUUUACCACGCCCUUAAGGUUUCUUUGCAUCAUAUGCAUUAACAAGCACAUUAUCUUCAGCAAGAGAAGGGAGUGAAAGAAGAGAAGUAUUAUUACUUUCUUCUUGUAAAACCAAAGAGAAAUUCUUAUUCAAGGUAGGCAAUGGAUCCAUCAAUAAGACUAGAGUCUUCACAGCAAAAAAUUGCUUAUUGAUGCUAGUUAAAAACUGAAUGAUUUGGUCCUCAUUUCUAUAUGUGUCAGUAACCUUAAGAGCAUCACAUCAACAUUGAUGAUGACAGUACAAUUUGGGAGAGGAGGAUGAGAAUGUAAUUCUUCCCACAAAGCUUUCAUUUCAGUGAAAUAAUCCAACACAAAUUUGGUAUUUUGCCUAAGAUUGUUAAUUUAAUUCCAGAACGCAAAUUGGCAAUUCUAAUACGAUCAAUCUUAGAAAAACGUUCCUUCAAAUCCUCCCAAAAAUCAAAAGCAUUAUCAUGAAACAAUAUAGUUUGAGAAAUUGAAUCAGAAACAGAAUUAAUAAUCCAAGACUAUACCAAAUGAUUGCAUCUUUCCGAAGCAUUACGAUUGAGGUCAUCAUGAUCAGGUACAGGUAGAGUUCCAUUGAUAAAGGGAAGCUUGUUCUUAACACCCAAAGCACGCUGCAUUGAUCUACUCCAUGCAAGAUAAUUGGAUCCAUUGAACUUAGGAGACACAAUCACCGAAUUAGGUCCUUCACUAUGAUGAACAAAGAAAGCAGAAUCAGUAUCAUUGUUGCUGUUGUUGAUUCGAAGCACGAACCAUCAUUCCAAAUCAGAGGAAGAAGAUGAAGAUCUUCGUAAGAAAUAAAUGCAGAGAAGCAAUACGCAAAGCUUGCGAAGGAAGAAAGAGAAGAAUCUCAAUACAAAAUUGAGAACAAAACAAGAAGAAUCAUGAAGAGAAAGAGAAAGAAAACUGAUACCAUAUUAUAAAUGAUAGAAAUAAUAUGUAAUUGCUUGAUGAAUCAGAGAGUACAACAACUAUUUAUAGGUAGUUGAUGCUGUACAAUACAUAUGAUGGACUAGCAUCAGCAUAUUAAAGCUACUACUAAGGUAAGCUAAGUUGCUUGUGGUCUAAGCUAUCUAAACCACUCUUAUUAUGUAAUAUAAAUAAAUCCUGAAUUAUUAAAAAAAUAAAAAAUAAGGAGUCCAACAACAACUCUUACAACAUCAAUUUAUUAAAAAAAAAAAUUACAUAAUCGAAUGAUACUUUUUGCCUUUCACAAUAUUUCAUUUAAUCCUUUGGUUCCUCUUCCUCAUAGGAUUUCAGCACCAUAUCCAUAUCACCAUGUUUCUUAAAGAAGCGAGUGAGCAACUCCUUAUAUUCGUAAGACUUAUAAAUAGGUGGAUUGUGUUCAUCAAUGAGAUCUUUUGUUGGUUCAAUGAAACAAUCACCUGAUGGAGCUAUAAAAAAGGCAGCAGUUGUGCGAGCUUGUUCUGAAUUUGUCACAACUCUAUGUUCCACACUUUUUAGCUUACCAUUAGUCAUUAUCUGUAUCCAAUAUUGUAACCCAUCACAAGUCAACAAAAUUUACCAAAUUACAUAAAUUAAUAAGAGACAUGAUUGAAAUGAAAAAAAUACAAAAAAUUUCCUUCAUGUGAGAUAGUGAUAAAUUAGUCCCUAGGGUUAUUAAUUUUUAAAGAAUUAAUGCAUUAAGUGUACCUGCAAGGCGUAGCCUAUGUUGAUAACAAAUGCAUGAGGAAUAGCAUCAACAGCAAUCCACUCUCCAUCCUUAAGUACUUGAAGGCCACAUAUAUCUUCUUGUUGUAAAACGGUUAUGAGGUAAGCAUCAAAGUGUUUGGUUAUACCAAGUGUUAAACUUGGAUCAGGGCAUGGUGGAUAAUGAUUAAGUUGGAUAACUAAUGAGUCACUAAGAUUAUCAUUGUCGAAAUAUCCACACUCCAAACCAAGCCCUUCACUAAUCAAAUUCAUGAUCCUUGAACCCAACUCCUUAAUUUUAGUUGAAUAAUCCCCAACACACUUUCUGCAAGAAAAAAAUGUCUAUUAGAUCUUUAACUGCAUGUGCAAAUUAGGGGUGACAAUGUGAAUAAAUUGAAUACAAUUUAACUUGGAUUGUGUAUUGGAUGGAUUGAACAACCCAUUAAUCUAUUUAUAAUCAACUACCCACUUAGGUUAGUCUGGUGGUAUUGACUUAGGACAUGAGAUUGUGCUCCUCCUCAAGAUCUCCCAAAGUCUUAUGACCAACGGCUCAUAAGGGUUUGCACUUGCCCGCAGCUCCUGACGCCCGCUUGGCGGGCGGAGCGCUCGUUAUCCUUACAGUUCUCUAUGCCGGGGCCCCCUCCCAUUGCUCUAGCCAUAAGUUGUGGCAACUCCAGCUCGAAACCAAAGGGGCCCGCCCUGCAAGGCUAGAGUGAGCUCAGUGGUCAUGUUUAAUUCUCCCCGAUACUAAUUUGAAUGAGUUAAUUUAGCUUUUUCAAAAAAAAAAAAAUUAUAAUCCAUGGAAAACUUCCUAAAACAACUAAAUCAAACCAUCAUCCGGACCAAACAAUCACCUAAUCCAUUUAUUUAUAUUUUGUCCAAUCUAUGCAUAAAAUACUUUAAAAGGAAAAACCUAUUACAAUAUUUUUUUUUUAGUACCACCAGAGCAUCUCCAUUGUGGCUGCAAGUGGUUCUCGGACAUCAAUUUUUGUGGAAAACUGGCGACUUUGUGUUAUUCCUAAAUCAUGACCGUCUUAUUUACCUAAUACGUUGUGAUGCAUUUGAUUUACCAAAAAAACAAAAACUAUGAAUGUUUUAGUUCCUAUUUAUAAGUCUUGUGUGUUUUAAACAGUUAUUAUGUAAUUAAUGUUUGUAUACGAUUGGUUCUUGAAUCGGAUGCCGAGUUUUCGAAAAAAUGUUUAUAUAUGAUUAUUAGAGAGAGAGAGGGAGAGAGGGAGGGAGGGAGAGAGAGAUCAAAUUUAAUUCAUGUUUUGUUAAAAAAAUUAUAUUUUUUUUUUAGAAAAAAUUUCAUUUAAAAAUAUGAAUGUUACACGAGAGUUGACUUCAAGGCAGUGAUCAAAUGUGAUGAUGCAAAUAUUUUAGGAGAAUAAACUCGAAGAAUUUUUUUGGAUAUAUUAAAACACAAAGUUGAUAUAUUUAUAGAGAUAAAAACAUAUUUAACCAUAGUGUUAAUAUUUGGAAAUGAAUAAUAAAUGUAUUUAAAAAUUUGUUGAGGGUUUUUAAUUAUGGACGAGCAAACAUUUUAAAAUUGUCUUAUAAUUAAAGGUCAAAGAGAAUAUGACAAUUCACGAAUUAAUAACCAUUCUAAUGUGAGCAAGCUUAUACUUAUCUUAAUUUGGGCAUAUACUAAUGAAUUUACUCAUCUAACUAAUCAGGGGCGAAUCCACCAUAGAGCUAUGUGUGGCUCUAGCCACACAUGAUUAUACCCUCUUUUUUUUUUUUUUUUUAUUUUUCUUUCAUAUACUAGAUCUCAAACAAUUGAUUAUAACAGUUAUUCUUUCUUUCACAAAAAAAAAAAAAAAAGUUAUAUUAUAUAUAUAUAUAUAUAUAUAUAUUUCUAAAAAAAAAAACAGUUAUAUACUAUAUAUAUGUCUAAAACAUGUGAAGAUUCUUUAUAUGGUCUAUCAGUAUGUAUGGUUGCGUAUAUCAAUACGCAUACAAGACUCUUUUUAGAAAAAAAAUUGUCACUUUUUAUAAGACUGUGUUGAUAUAUAUUUUUAAAUAUAUUAAUUAAUUAUUUACCAACAAACUCCUAUUUAUUUUAUAUUUUUUUCUUCAAUCAGUAUUAAAUACCAUGUUGAAAACAUACACUAACUCUUUCUCUUAAAGAAUAAAAUUGUAAAAACAAUAGCAAUUACAAACAAACUUAUUACCACUUUCAAUUUUCUUAACUCCCGUUAUUUUUUUAAAAGGACCCUAUAAUUAAGGAUAGAGGGAGUAUGAUUUAAUUCAUAGUUUCUUUUAUAAUUCAGUCACACCUAAACAUUAUAUCUAGAUCCAUGCAUGUAACUAAUGUACUUUGUUCAAUCAUUGUUAUAAACAAAACUUUAUUUUGUAUAUUCAUUGAAUAAUAGGUAGUAUUAAUUAGAGAGAUUGCAAGUAGUGAAAUUGUUAUGUCGACUAUUUAAUUAAGUUAAAGACUAGUUAAUAGCUCAAGUAAUAAUCAAUUUGAGAUAGAGAACUAUUACAAAUGAGACCGACCAAGUUUUCAUGCAUUUACCUGUAUGUAGUUGGAUAUUCAGGCCACAAGUGUUGCCACUGUUCCAAAGGAUAAGCUGGGUGUCUAAGAGUGUCCCUCCAAAGAUGAACCUUAUCAAAUUCAUAUUUGAAAGUGCUAGAAAACAUCUUACAUGUCUUCAAAUUGUUCUCAGGAUACAAGUCGUGUUUGUAUUCAUUAGGCUUCUCAAACACCUCCUUAAAAACACUCAUUGCUUCCUUCAUUUCAUCCAACGAGAGACCAUGAUUGAUAACCUAUUUUAAUCAAAAAAAAUGUCGGGAUUUUAUAUUAGACACAUUGUCGGAGCCACGUUGUGGCCAGGGGGUUCAAUUGCACCUUCUCAACUUUUCAUAUUUACACCUAUUUUACUAUAUUUUCAUUGUCUUGAACCCCCUCAAAAUUAAGCCUUGCACCAUAUUGAAUUGACUCUCUCCUCUCUCACUAGGAAAAAGUUGGUAAAGUUGUGUCUGUGCAUACAGUGUGACAAUAAUACAAUGCAGAUUGCCCAAAGUUUAAGUCAAAGUAAAAAAUAUCAUUUUUUUUAACAGCAAAUUUUAUUUAAAAAUCAGAUCCUUGCUCAAGACGAACAGAGACAGGUGAUAUUAUAAAUAUCAUUUUAUAUUAUAAAUUGAUGAUAGAUUGGAAUCAAAACAAAAUAUCUUGAAUGGAAAUUAAAUCUGGAUAUUUAGCAUAGAAAAUGUAUAGAAUAUUUAGCAUUGUGUUUUCAAAUUUUAACUGAUAAAUAUUCUAUGAUGGAAAAAAAUGUAAGAUGUGGAAAUUUUUCUUAAAUAAAUAUAAAUAUAUUUUAAUAUUUAUAAUUUUACGACAUUCAUCUUUAAAUAUAUAAUUUUUCUAUUGUCUCUAAAUAGGCAAACAACUAUGUUGAUCAUCCAUGAAUGUGUGAGACACUCUUAUACUCUUUAAAUGUAUCGAAAAUACAUUUAUAGUGCAUCUUUUUUUGUGUGGUAAUUUUAUAGAUUAAAUUGAACAAUGACAAAACAUAUUCUAAGAUAUAAUUGACUAUCAAAAAACUAAUUUAAUAAAAGAGACGUUUAGAGAUCAAUAUGAUGGCGAAAUACACAUUCAAGGUAAAAAUUUGGUAGGUCGAAAUUUUGAACCCCUUAACUUAGGGUCCUGGCAACACAACUAAAGUUUGCUUAGUAUAUUUUAGAGGAAAAAUAUAUUUAAUCUUAAAAUAGAAAGAGUAUUUAGUAUGAAUACCUGAAAGAAUCCAAACUCCUCAGAAGCCUUGAUAAUUUGUUGUAUUGUUUUGGUUCUAUCCCCAUUUUGUGCUUCACUAAGAUCAAUUGUUGGGAUGGUUUUGUUAAUUGGGAUUUUGAAAUUCCCUGGUCUUGUUUCUUGUGGGAAUACAUAGUCCUCAGGCACAGAUUUGAUGCUUGACCGGUUUGAAAUAAAUUUCUCCNUUUUUUUUUUUUUAAGGAAUCAUGCUUUAUAAUUUUUAUUUUUUUUGAAGAAGUUAAAUUAGCUUAUCCAAAUUGAUACCGGAGAGAACCAUCAGACCAAUUCAAGUGGGUUCAUGUUUUACAAUGUUGUUUCCUUUUUGCAUCAGACAUGCUAAUUGUAAAACAUAAAUAUUUGAAUCAAUCAUUAAGUGUAUUUUAACCACUUGAUUAAGUGGUUAAACUCAUAUCCUCAUGUAAAUCAACGAGAGUGUAACCUUUAUAGCCUGACUUGUAUCCCAAGAAAAAAGUUUUUCUAGCUCUAGAUUGAAGUUUAGUUCUAUGGACAGAAAGAGAAGUAGCAUAACACAGACAACCAAAAACUUUGAAAGUUGAAAUGUCAGGUAAUUUGUAGUAAAGAACUUGAUAAGGACACUUAUGAUUAAGGGUAUGAGUGGUGAUACGGUUAAUGAGGAAAAUUGCAUGAGAAACUGCAUAAGAUCAAAAAGAGGAGGGUAGUUUGGAUUGGAAUAAAAAAGUGCUCUACCAACAUUUAAAAUGUGUUGGUUUUUUUUUUCUACCCUACCUUUUUGUUGAGGAGUAGCAACACAAGAUUUUUGAUGGAUAAUGCCAAGGGAAUCAUAAAAGGUUGGAAGGAUAAACUCAUGGCCAUUGUCUGAUCUGACAUCUUUAGGAGUGAUAUAAAACUGGUUUUGAAUCAUGGCAAUGAAACAUUGGACAUGGUGAGAAACUUCAGCUUUGGGUUCAAGGAGAAUAAUCCAAAGAAACCUAUUAUGAUCAUCAACAAUGGUAAGGAAGUAUUUGUGACCAUGAACAGAAGGUACAGAUAAGGGACCCCAAAUAUCAAAGUGUAGCAAUUCAAAAUUAGAAGAUGCAUUAGAAUUACUAGAUUCAAAAGGAAGAUGCUUUUGUUUAGCAAAAUGAUAGACAUCGCAAAUUGAAUUAUUAUCAGAAACAAUAUUGGAGUACAAAGUUGACAUCUUAUUCACUCUUUGAUGAGAUAAGUGUCCCAAUCUGAAGUGCAAUAAGGCUUUAUUGGGAAUAACAACAAUACUUGAAUUACAAGAAAUUGAAGAAAUUGCAUUACAAAUUUAUUGAUAUGACUAGAAAGAUCACUAGCAGAAACUAAAGAUAGAGAAUGGAGUAUGUAUAAACCAUCCACUUGUUUAGCCAAAUCAAUCUGCUUCAUUGAGAAUUGGUCAUGUAUAAUGCAUUGAGUAUGUGAGAAUUGCACAAAACAAGAUAAAGAAUGACACAAUUUGGCUACAUAGAUAUGAUUCAACUUAAAGGAAGGAGAAUAAAGAGCAUUGGUGAGAUAAAGCUGAGAACUAAAAGAAACAAUGUCAUCAUGAUUAACAAGGAUAGAGGUACCAUUAGGUAAAUUGACAUGAACAUGCUUAAUCUGAUAAAAUGAAGUAAAAGAAGCUAAGUUGCCAUAUAUGUGCUCAUUACCCCCAGAAUGUAAUAACCAAUGUGAGGUAGAAGGAAAAAAACAAGAAUGAGUAUUCAGAUUACCUACAGAAGAAGAAGCAGCAGUGUAAUUGGAGGAAACUUGAGGAGAAACACUAAUAUGGUUGGUAGUAGGGUCAGAUGUAGAAGCAGGAACUGAGGUAAACAAAUUUGUCUGCUGCAACAAGAAGAUAAGCUGAUCCAUCUUUUCUUGAGACAAACCAGUACUACCAGAAGAGUUGCUUGCAUCUGAAGCUUCAUUCGAAGUAGCAUUGGCCUGUGAAAUCUUCUUGUUCACAUUAGGAUAGCCAUGCUUUUGAUAGAAAAAGUCAAUUGUGUGAUUGUGUCUAUUUCAAAAAAUGCAAAACCUUGAUGAAGGUUUAGUGAAUGAACAUUUACCACGCCCUUAAGGUUUCUUUGCAUCAUAUGCAUUAACAAGCACAUUAUCUUCAGCAAGAGAAGGGAGUGAAAGAAGAGAAGUAUUAUUACUUUCUUCUUGUAAAACCAAAGAGAAAUUCUUAUUCAAGGUAGGCAAUGGAUCCAUCAAUAAGACUAGAGUCUUCACAGCAAAAAAUUGCUUAUUGAUGCUAGUUAAAAACUGAAUGAUUUGGUCCUCAUUUCUAUAUGUGUCAGUAACCUUAAGAGCAUCACAUCAACAUUGAUGAUGACAGUACAAUUUGGGAGAGGAGGAUGAGAAUGUAAUUCUUCCCACAAAGCUUUCAUUUCAGUGAAAUAAUCCAACACAAAUUUGGUAUUUUGCCUAAGAUUGUUAAUUUAAUUCCAGAACGCAAAUUGGCAAUUCUAAUACGAUCAAUCUUAGAAAAACGUUCCUUCAAAUCCUCCCAAAAAUCAAAAGCAUUAUCAUGAAACAAUAUAGUUUGAGAAAUUGAAUCAGAAACAGAAUUAAUAAUCCAAGACUAUACCAAAUGAUUGCAUCUUUCCGAAGCAUUACGAUUGAGGUCAUCAUGAUCAGGUACAGGUAGAGUUCCAUUGAUAAAGGGAAGCUUGUUCUUAACACCCAAAGCACGCUGCAUUGAUCUACUCCAUGCAAGAUAAUUGGAUCCAUUGAACUUAGGAGACACAAUCACCGAAUUAGGUCCUUCACUAUGAUGAACAAAGAAAGCAGAAUCAGUAUCAUUGUUGCUGUUGUUGAUUCGAAGCACGAACCAUCAUUCCAAAUCAGAGGAAGAAGAUGAAGAUCUUCGUAAGAAAUAAAUGCAGAGAAGCAAUACGCAAAGCUUGCGAAGGAAGAAAGAGAAGAAUCUCAAUACAAAAUUGAGAACAAAACAAGAAGAAUCAUGAAGAGAAAGAGAAAGAAAACUGAUACCAUAUUAUAAAUGAUAGAAAUAAUAUGUAAUUGCUUGAUGAAUCAGAGAGUACAACAACUAUUUAUAGGUAGUUGAUGCUGUACAAUACAUAUGAUGGACUAGCAUCAGCAUAUUAAAGCUACUACUAAGGUAAGCUAAGUUGCUUGUGGUCUAAGCUAUCUAAACCACUCUUAUUAUGUAAUAUAAAUAAAUCCUGAAUUAUUAAAAAAAUAAAAAAUAAGGAGUCCAACAACAACUCUUACAACAUCAAUUUAUUAAAAAAAAAAAUUACAUAAUCGAAUGAUACUUUUUGCCUUUCACAAUAUUUCAUUUAAUCCUUUGGUUCCUCUUCCUCAUAGGAUUUCAGCACCAUAUCCAUAUCACCAUGUUUCUUAAAGAAGCGAGUGAGCAACUCCUUAUAUUCGUAAGACUUAUAAAUAGGUGGAUUGUGUUCAUCAAUGAGAUCUUUUGUUGGUUCAAUGAAACAAUCACCUGAUGGAGCUAUAAAAAAGGCAGCAGUUGUACGAGCUUGAUCUGAAUUUGUCACAGCUCUAUGUUCAGCACUUUUUAGCUUACCAUUAGUGAGUAUCUGUAUUCAAUAUUGUAACCCAUCACAAGUCAACAAAAUUUACAGACCUAAAUAAAUUUAAAAGAGACAUGAUUGAAAUGAAAAAAAAAAUGAAAGAUUUCCUUCAAGGGUUUGAUAGUGAUAUUUUGAAGUCAUUGGAGCCAAUCAUUGCUAUUGAAAUCUAUAUUGAAUCUAGAGGAUCAGAGGUGCAGAGGAUUGAGAAAUGAUAUUUUGUACAACCAUUUUCUAAUAACUUUUGUGACAACUUUCUCUAUCAUACUCAUAUUAUAAUUUUACUUUAUCUCUCUAUUGUUUUGGUUUUUGUGUCAAUACAUAAUUUUCUUUGUAAGAGUAUGGUUGUCUAUAUGGUUGUCAAUCAAAUUAAUGUUCAAAUAACAUUGCUCGAGAGGAUUAGAGGGGUCAAGAGGAUCUGAGUAGUCUAGACGAUCAAAGAGGUGCAGAGGAUCAACACCACAAUUGUUCACUAGAGAGGAUGUGAUGCUUAACUGGUAUAGUGUAUAGUUGUUAUGAUGUAUAAAGUGGCGGAGUCAGGAUCAUUACAAAAUCUGGGCAAAAAAUAUUUCAACACAGGUUUACAUAAGAAAUUGCAAGUAAAUAAUCAAAAAAUUUAAAGAAAUUGUCCAAUUUAUAGGGAUUUAUAAAAGAAAUUCAGAGAAAUUUACAUAAAAAAUUGCAAAAUAUUUGGGUCGGAGCCUGAGCAACGCCCAGGCUUUCCGGGCCUUAGAACCGCCCCUGGAUGUAUAUACUAUAGAUUAUAACAAGUUGAUAGAGAUUAGUUAGUUGAAAGUUAAUAACUAGUUGUCAUUAGUUAGUCAGCUAGAGAUUAACUCUUAGUUAGCAUAACCACCUCUAUAUAUACGGUUGCUACAUUAUACAUAUUCUAUCUCUACAAUCUUCUAUCAAAACAAUUUACAUAAUUUUCAUUCAUACUCUCUCAUUUUUCUUCGAAGUUGCAAUUCACCUCACAUUAGUGUGUAGUUCUUCAACCCAGCAUAAACCAUCAAAAUAAUAUCCUUAAAAUGAUAGUAAUUGAUGACAAAUGCAUCAAGUGUACCUGCAAGGCGCAGCCUAUGUUGAUGACAAAUGCAUGAGGAAUGGCAUCAACAGCUAUCCACUCUCCGUCCUUAAGUACUUGAAGGCCACAUAUAUCUUCUUGUUGUAAAACGGUUAUGAGGUAAGCAUCAAAGUGUUUGAUUACACCAAGUGUUAAACUUGGAUCAGGGCAUGGUGGAUAAUGAUUAAGUGAGAUAACCAAUGAGUCACUAAGAUUAUCAUUGUCGAAAUAUCCACACUCCAAACCAAGCCCUUCACUAAUUAAAUUCAUGAUCCUUGAACCCAACUCCUUAAUUUUAACUGAAUAAUUCCCAACACACUCUCUGCAAAAAAAAAAAAAAAAAAAGAUCUUUAACUACAUGUGCAAAUUAGAGGUGACAAGUGAUAGCCCGUAAAUAAGUUGGUUAUCACAUUCCAGUUAGCCCCUAUAAUAGAUAAGUAAUGGAAUGAUUGCAAUGUCUUAAACAUUUAAUCAAUGUCUAUUUUAGGAUUUUAUAGUUUUAAAUAUUUUUAGUACUUUGAAACUAGUAAUGCUUGUUUAUGAUGUUUGAUGAUGUAGGUUAAGGAAUGACUCUAAAGAUGUGGGAAGCUGCAGCGUGGAUUGAAGAUGUAUCACUGAAGAUGUGAAAAGUUGCAGCGUCCUAGGACUCUAGCUGGGUCGUACAUAGUACGAGUGCGUGAGUUCAGUCUCUCCUUGCUUAAUGAGGAAUAAUAUGAGUUGUCCUCAAUGAAUGAAAUCCUAGGAAAAAUAAAAGAAUAUGCCAAUAUUUGAUAAGGAGUGAUGAAUAAGGACAACCCAUGUACUAUAAAAGGACCCCAUGUGUUAGUGCCAAGGUCCGAAAAUUCAUCAUAGAAUUGGAGAUGCCAGGUUACGGCUAGGGUUAACAAAUUUAGAGAUAUUUUCAUUGAUAUUUUCUAAGUAAUAAUUAAUUGGGUUAAAUAAGUAAAUGGUCCCCUUAAAUAUACUAAUAUUUGAUUUUAGUUUCCUUAAAAUAUUCUUUAGGUUUUUUGUCCCUCCAAAUAUUUCAUCCAUGAAAUUAGUCCCUGUUCUCAAUGUAGAGCAUGGACUAAUUUCAUGGAUGAAAAUUUUUAAAGAAAUCAAAAAUCUAAGGAAUAUUUUGAAGGGACUAAAAUGAAAUGUUGGUAUAUUUAGAUGAUUAUUUACUUAUUUAACCCUAAUUAAUUUGAGACAAAAAUAUCAAAUGAGAUCUGUAUGUAGUUGGCAUACAUAUAUUCAUGCAUUUACCUGUAUGUAGUUGGAUAUUCAGGCCACAAGUGUCAUUUACAAGGGUCAAGAGAUAAGACAAUAUAUCAGUUACUCUUAGCCCUCAUUAUAAAGGUUGGAUCAUCUGCAAAUGUAGAGAGUUCUGCAUUGGAGGUAACAAUUAAUGUACAAAUUUUAUGUAUAGCCAUUAUAAUCUCUGGUAUGUUUUAAGAGUAGGUGUUGUUUAAAAAAAAAUGCAUGUUAUCAAGAAUAACAUUUCUGAUAUAUGUUAAUAACUAGAUGCGCAAAAUUUACUUUAACAUGACAUAUAUCGAGUCUUCAAGAGAAAAAUCAUUUUUGCAGCAGUAAAUUCUGAAUUGAGUCUAAUUUACUCUGAUAUAUUGUCUUAUCUCUUGACCCUUGUAACUGAUAUAUAUUUUCUUGUAGUAAUUUACCUGUAUGAGUCUAAGUUGGUUAUCAUGUUACACUUAGCCCCUAUAUAGACAAGUAAUCGAGUGAUUGCAAUUUCUUAAACAUCUAAUCACUGUCUAUUUUAAGAUUUUAUAGUUUUAAAUGUUUUUAUUACUUUGGAACUAGUAAUGCUUGUUUAUUAUGUUUGAUGAUGUAGGUUAAGGAAUGACUCUAAAGACGUGGGAAGCUGCAGCGUGGAUUGAAGAUGUAUCGCUGAAGAUGUGAAAGAUGUGAAAAGUUGCAGCGACCUAGGACUCUAGUUUGGUCGUACAUAAUACGAGUGAGUGAGUUCAGUCUCUCCUUGCUUAAUGAGGAAUAAUAUGCGUUGUCCUCAUUGAAUGGAAUCCUAGGAUGAAUAAAAGAAUAUGCCAAUGGGAAGGUAAGAUUGGAUAAGGAGGGAUGGAUAAGGACAACCCAUUUAAAAUGACCAAAAGGUACAACUUGUAGUGGGUGGCCUUGUACUAUAAACGGACCCCCGAGUGUUAAUGCCAAGGUCGGAAAAUUCAUCUUAGAAUUGGAGAGGCCAGGUUACGGCUAGGGUUAACAAAUUUAGAGAUCUCAUUCUAUCUCAUCUUCUCCAUAUACGUCUUUUUAACACCUUUUACGUAUGUGUUUUAAAAAUAGUUGAUAGUGUAAUUAAGGUGUAUAUGAUUAUUGAUAAAUUGAGUAAUGUUAUUUAAACAUAAAUUUUUUGACAACGUAUUCUGAUAUUAUAUAAAAUGCAUCAUUUAUAACUCUGGAUAUCACUUGUGUGAGAGAGAGUAAACGUAAACUAAUCAAUAGUUGAGUUUGUUGAUAGUAUUAAGGGUUAAAUAUAUUUUUAGUCAUUAUAAAUAUAUAAACAUUUUUUUUUUCUUUGACUUUUUUUUUUUUGAUAGAAAAUUUCUUUGACUUUUAAUCCCUCCUAAAGUUUUCAAUCACCAUUUUUUAUACUUAGUUCUAAGUCAACUCAUAUGUAACCUUCAUAUUUUUUAAUGAAAUAUUUUAGAAAUGAUUAGAAUAUUAUAAGAAUCUCUAAAAAAAAUAACAAUAUGAAUUUUUAAGCGCAAAAAAUAUUAAAAAAGUUAUUUUUAAUUCAUGUUUUGUUUAAAAAUUCUACAUUCUUUUAGAGAUUCUUAUAGUAUAGUAUUCUAAACAUUCAAAAAUAUUAUUUUAAAAUAAGAAGCUUAUUCAAGAGUUGACUUAAAAGUAAUGAUCAAAAGUAAUGAUGGGAAAUUCUUAGAGACUAAGAAUCGAAGAAAAUUUUUAAGUGGAUAAAAACAAAAAAUUGAUAUAUUUAUUAGGAUAAAAAACAUAUUUAAAUCUAGCAUUAAUAAGUUAAUAUUUGAAAAAUGAAAUAAGGUUGUAAAUAGUGAAAUUGUUAUGUCAACUAUUUAAUUAAGUAGCGGACUAGUUUAAUAGAUGUUCAUUUAUAUUUUCUAAAUAAUAAUUAAUUGGGUUAAAUAAGUAAAUGGUCCUCCUAAAUAUACAAAUAUUUGAUUUUAGUCCCCCUAAAAUAUUCUUUAGGCUUUUGGUCCCUUCAAAAUUUUUCAUCUAUGAAAUUAGUCCAUGUUCUCAAUGUAGAGCAGGGAUUAAUUUUAUGGAUGAAAAAUUUUAGAGGAACCAAAAACAUAAAAAAUAUUUUAGAGGAAUUAAAAUCAAAUGUUGAUAUAUUUAGGAGGAUUAUUUACGUAUUUAACCCUAAUUAAUUUGAGACAGAAAUAUCAAAUGAGAUCUGUAUGUAGUUGACAUACAUAUAUUCAUGCAUUUACCUGUAUGUAUUUGGAUAUUCAGGCCACAAGUGUUGCCACUCCUCCAAAGGAUAAGCUGGAUGUCGAAGAGAGUCCCUCCAUAGAUGAACCUUAUCACAUUCAUAUUUCAAGGUGCUAGAAAACAUCUUGCAUGUCUUCAAAAUCUCCUCAGGAUACAAGUCGUGCUUGUAUUCAUUAGGCUUCUCAAACACCUCCUUGAAAAUACUCAUUGUUUCCUUCAUUUCAUCCAACGAGAGACCAUGAUUGAUAACCUAUUUUAAUCAAAGAAAUUUUGGGACUUCUAUUAGACAUGUGUUGACAUGUGUUGCUAUAGUAUAAUGAGCACUAAAAUUACUAAUGAAAAAUAUGUAGGGGCGAAAGUUUGAAGAAAUAUUUUGUAAGAACUAAAAAAAAAACUUACUCCCUCAGUCCUAUAAUAAUCCAGCCAUUUGCAACAAAAAAAAAUUGUAUUUCAUUUUUCAAUACAAUAUUAAUUACUUUUUUCUCUUUAUAACUCUAGUUAAUACUACUUUCAUCACUCACAAUCUACGAAGCAUGGAUACGGACACCGGACACGACACGGACACCGCGUCGACACAUCUAAUUUUUUUUAGAAAAUCACAUAAUUCAGUGUAAUUAUAUGUGUCGGUGUCGGACACCACAUGUGUUUGACACGAGGAUACGCAUUAUUCGAGGAGUGUCCAUGCUUCAUAGCUUCAAAUUCAAUAUAUACCACUUUGCAUUUAUGAUAGUAGAGAAUACAUCAAUAUUUAACAAAAGCACUUAAAACUAUUUUUCUCUCUCAUUUAUUUAUGAGAAAUGCUAAAACGCACGAAAUUAUUUGUCGUCAUUUUUGUACGAAAAAGUGUAUACUUAUUAUUUAGUUCUUUAUCUUAAUUUUAAUUUGACACAAAGUGACAAACUUUGCCUCUUCUAGAUAUAUCUUAUGAUAAAUCACAAAAAUACCUCAUUGGUGGUGCUUCUCCAAGUUUACUGUUGUCAGUCCCUGCCUCACCAAUGUCAUGUAAACCGGUGGAUCAUGCAUGUNUAGUCCUCAGGCACAGAUUUGAUGCUUGACCGGUUUGAAAUAAAUUUCUCCAUAUCUCCUUGAAGUAGCUUGAUUAUGCUUUAUUAGUAUACAAUAUAGAGUGAUAGUAAUGGCUAAAACUGGGGAGAGGAUGUAUUUAU